rnacentral:rRNA from 1 species
AUACGGAGGAUCCGAGCGUUAUCCGGAUUUAUUGGGUUUAAAGGGAGCGUAGGCGGACGCUUAAGUCAGUUGUGAAAGUUUGCGGCUCAACCGUAAAAUUGCAGUUGAUACUGGGUGUCUUGAGUACAGUAGAGGCAGGCGGAAUUCGUGGUGUAGCGGUGAAAUGCUUAGAUAUCACGAAGAACUCCGAUUGCGAAGGCAGCCUGCUUGACUGUAACUGACGCUGAUGCUCGAAAGUGUGGGUAUCAAACAGGAUUAGAUACCCUGGUAGUCCACACAGUAAACGAUGAAUACUCGCUGUUUGCGAUAUACAGUAAGCGGCCAAGCGAAAGCGUUAAGUAUUCCACCUGGGGAGUACGCCGGCAACGGUGAAACUUAAAGGAAUUGACGGGG